AACCGGAGGAAAAAAGCUUGAUACAAUAAGCUAACAAUUUAAAAGUUAGGUUUGAUAGGAUUUCUAUCAAGGAGGGAGUUGACCAUUUAGAUGGAGCUUGCGAUUAUAGUUACAACAGGACGAGGUAAUUCUUUAUCAUGAUAUCCUGUUGUUUUAUAAGUUAACCUAUUACUUGCAUUGCCGAUGAGAUUGCUAACGGAUUGCAGGUAGCCGGAAGGGAUCUCCGUAUUGGCCCAAACAUAUGGCGAGCUAUCAAAAGAGGUGGAAGAGUUAAAGGAGAAUGACGAGAAUAGAGGCCAAUAUGCUACGUUUUGGAAUGAAUUUUGCAAAACGAUUAAACUUGGUAUCAUUGAGGAUGCAGUAACAGGAACCGUUAUUUGAGAUGUUGCUUCUGAAUGUAGCAAAUCACUAUCUUCAUAUCAUACUUCUAAUAUUAUGACUGCAAAAUAUUUUGCAAUACACCAUUGCUUUUGUGAGUAUAUUUAAUUAUUGUAAUUUCAAUAAAUGUUUACUCUUUUGUGGUAACAAUUAUACAUUUUAGAUUUGGGUUUUUGCACAUUUGUUGGUCGAUCCACAACAAGUAUUAGUGAUCUUUGUUACAAUUGCUUUGUGUCCUUAAUGGGUAAAAUGCGUCAAACAAAAACAAUAGCUACUAGGUAGUGGGUUGUUAACUGAAGCAACGGGUAGUGUAUGGAGACUGAAGAAAUCGAAUUCGGGGUUGUUUGGACACGAGCCAACGGCCGGUCAACUCUGGUCGAACAUAGUGGAGCGGGUCAAUGGGUCGUCAACAACACAGUUUACGCGGGGAAGGUUUCAAUUUACACAAUAAAUGCACAAAGAGGUAUAAACACAAACCCUACAAUUUAAUUAACUACUUG
rnacentral:lncRNA from 1 species